GAUGAACGCUGGCGGCGUGCCUAAUACAUGCAAGUCGAGCGAACAGACGAGGAGCUUGCUCCUCUGACGUUAGCGGCGGACGGGUGAGUAACACGUGGAUAACCUACUUAUAAGACUGGGAUAACUUCGGGAAACCGGAGCUAAUACCGGAUAAUAUAUUGAACCGCAUGGUUCAAUAGUGAAAGACGGUUUUGCUGUCACUUAUAGAUGGAUCCGCGCCGCAUUAGCUAGUUGGUAAGGUAACGGCUUACCAAGGCAACGAUGCGUAGCCGACCUGAGAGGGUGGACGGCCACACUGGAACUGAGACACAGUCCAGACUCCGACGGGAGGCAGCAGUAGGGAAUCUUCCGCAAGGGGCGAAAGCCUGACAUAGCAACACCGCGUGAGUGAUGAAGGUCUUCGGAUCGUAAAGCUCUGUUAUUAGGGAAGAACAAAUGUGUAAGUAACUAUGCACGUCUUGACGGUACCUAAUCAGAAAGCCACGGCUAACUACGUG
rnacentral:rRNA from 1 species